UUGACGGUGACCGGCCAAAUGGCGGACGAGUCGGUGAGGCUCUGAUCGCCGAAGAAAUUUCCACCGGCCAGCAUACCGAGGAGUGUGUUUUCACCGUAUUCGCCGGAGCCGAGCUUGCUCAAUUUUCCGUGCACGAUCAGCAUGACCUGAUUCAUCGGAUUGCCGAAUUCGGCUACCACGCUGCCGGGUUCGAAUUCGCGCUGUUCGAACCGGCGGGCCAGUGCGCGCAGCACGUCCUCAUCGGUGAAAUCGUGCAGUGCGGGCAGUUCACACAGUUCCAGCGGGAUCACCUUCGCGGUGGAGCCAUCCACGGCGAACUCGACCUCGCCGUUGCCCACGGUGUGCGUGAGGCGCCGGUUGACCCGGUAUACACCGCCGUUGACCUGCGUCCAUGGCAGCAUGCGGGUGAGCCAGCGGGAGGUGAUCCCCUGCAUCUGGGGUUCGGACUUUGUGGUGGUCGACAACUGGUGUGCGGCAGUGGUACUGAGGCUCCUGCGCACAGUAGUCUC
rnacentral:antisense_RNA from 1 species